CGAGCUUUGAUGAAAAGAAAAGCAAUGGUAAAAGUAAAAUAGAUAGAUGGUUACUAAAUCUGAACAAGGUGUAUACUCUAAUGCUAUUACUGAUUUUGUAGCAGACUCUGGUAUGGAUUUUUUUCUUAAACUUCUCCGAUAAUUUGGAUGGAUUAAUGUGGAUUAUACCUUAAAUCAUGUAGUUUCCAUAUGGGGUCAGUUUGAUUUGAUUUUUUUUUUAACUGUUUUGAUUUGAUAUAGUAUUAGUUUAUUUCAAGACUUUGAAAGAUUCAUGGUUGGAUACUGAUUCCAUUAGUUUUUCUUAUUCUAUAUAAAUAAAUUGUGGGUUCUGUGGAUUUUAUUAUAGAUUUUAAGUUUAAUAGAUUAAGAUUCAGCUUCAUUCAGAAAGCAAUCGUCCAAACAUAGAGAGUAUAAAUGUAGAAAAAUAAUAGUAAUUACGCAACUGAACUUUAGAGAUUUCUAUGCUAAAAUGUGAAUGCAGACCUGAAUUUGUGUUUAUACCAUUCGGGAUGUCAUGUGCAGAUUAUUAACUGGAUUGAAGAUGGUUUUGUAGUAUGCAUUGGAAGCUUAAGAAUAAAACAUAUGAAAUUGGAUUCAGAUUACAUCUAAAUAUCAAAGAUGUUUAUCGUAUGAUUGAACGUUUAAGACUGAUGAAACUAGAUAUUUGAUGUAUGAACUCAAUAUUUAGGAAAUAUUGGCUUUAAAUUUGGUUUUGCAUUUUUGAGAUCAGAGAAAAAAGUUUGUGUUCUGGUGUUUCUCGGGGUUCGGGAUUAUUCUAAACGGAGACGUCUGGAUGAAAGAUGACAUUUUCAAAAAGAUGGAAUCCCGCAUCCCAUCCUCAAGAGUUAGUAAAUGGAGAGCGCCCAUUCGCUUAUGUAUAGUAGUACUUGUUCCAAUGUACAAAGUUAAUUAUGAUUAUUCGGCGCCUAAGAGUUGGGGAAGCACUCCAACUGGAAUGUAUGGAUCAGAGGAGCUAGUGAAGCUGAAGUUGGUGUAGAAUGACAGGUACUGAAGCUCGACAUGCCACAAAUCCACUGCUUUAACGAUCCUGGUAGCUAUCUUUAUAUCCAGAAGCACUAGACAAUCUCAGCAUGCAAGUAUCCAAAAUUUGUCCUGAUCUGCAAACUAGACAAGUAGAGAUGUGAUCCAGAGUUGGAGCAUGUAAUAUUCGGUGAUAUUGAUGAACAAGAAGCUAAUGUUGAUGAACUUAUAUCAACUUGGAGGUGGAGGGUGAUUCCAAAUACGGAAACAGUGAGGCUAAAGGCACCAGGAAUUAGGUACCUAACUCCAAUAUUUCAAGGUUAAACCUUCCUUAUAUCCAGUUUGUUUAACUGUAAUGAACAUAAAUGCAUGGAUAGCUCCGGUUCGUUUAAAGGGAUGAAAACCGUUACCAGAAAUGUGAAUGUAUUCUGGUAGUGGAUAAACAGGUUCGAAGUUAUUAUAGUCCCGACAUAAUUGGUCUGUAGUUCAGCUUAGAAAAUAUACUCAUGUAUAAGUUGAACAGAACCAUGUAGAGGUUGAAUGUAAUAAAUUUAGUUGUACAGGAACCCAAAUUCCUUAUAAA